rnacentral:rRNA from 1 species
AGAGGCUUAACACAUGCAAGUCGAGGGGCAGCAUGGUCUUAGCUUGCUAAGGCCGAUGGCGACCGGCGCACGGGUGAGUAACGCGUAUCCAACCUGCCUUACACUCUUGGACAGCCUUCUGAAAGGGAGAUUAAUACAAGAUGUUAUCAUGAGUAAGCAUUUUCGCAUGAUUAAAGGUUUACCGGUGUAAGAUGGGGAUGCGUUCCAUUAGAUAGUAGGCGGGGUAACGGCCCACCUAGUCUUCGAUGGAUAGGGGUUCUGAGAGGAAGGUCCCCCACAUUGGAACUGAGACACGGUCCAAACUCCUACGGGAGGCAGCAGUGAGGAAUAUUGGUCAAUGGACGAGAGUCUGAACCAGCCAAGUAGCGUGAAGGAUGAAGGUUCUAUGGAUUGUAAACUUCUUUUAUACGGGAAUAAACGAAUCCACGUGUGGAUUUUUGCAUGUACCGUAUGAAUAAGGAUCGGCUAACUCCGUGCCAGCAGCCGCGGUAAUACGGAGGAUCCGAGCGUUAUCCGGAUUUAUUGGGUUUAAAGGGAGCGUAGAUGGGUUGUUAAGUCAGUUGUGAAAGUUUGCGGCUCAACCGUAAAAUUGCAAUUGAUACUGGCAGUCUUGAGUACAGUUGAGGUAGGCGGAAUUCGUGGUGUAGCGGUGAAAUGCUUAGAUAUCACGAAGAACUCCGAUUGCGAAGGCAGCUUACUAACCUGUAACUGACAUUGAUGCUCGAAAGUGUGGGUAUCAAACAGGAUUAGAUACCCUGGUAGUCCACACGGUAAACGAUGAAUACUCGCUGUAGGCGAUAUACAGUCUGCGGCCAAGCGAAAGCAUUAAGUAUUCCACCUGGGGAGUACGCCGGCAACGGUGAAACUCAAAGGAAUUGACGGGGGCCCGCACAAGCGGAGGAACAUGUGGUUUAAUUCGAUGAUACGCGAGGAACCUUACCCGGGCUUAAAUUGCAACCGAAUAUGGCGGAAACGCUAUAGCUAGCAAUAGCGGUUGUGAAGGUGCUGCAUGGUUGUCGUCAGCUCGUGCCGUGAGGUGUCGGCUUAAGUGCCAUAACGAGCGCAACCCUUGCCGAUAGUUACUAACAGGUCAUGCUGAGGACUCUGUCGGGACUGCCAUCGUAAGAUGUGAGGAAGGUGGGGAUGACGUCAAAUCAGCACGGCCCUUACGUCCGGGGCUACACACGUGUUACAAUGGGGGGUACAGAGGGCUGCUACCACGCAAGUGGAUGCCAAUCCCAAAAACCUCUCUCAGUUCGGAUUGAAGUCUGCAACCCGACUUCAUGAAGCUGGAUUCGCUAGUAAUCGCGCAUCAGCCACGGCGCGGUGAAUACGUUCCCGGGCCUUGUACACACCGCCCGUCAAGCCAUGGGAGCCGGGGGUACCUGAAGUGCGUAACCGCAAGGAGCGCCCUAGGGUAAAACUGGUG